AACAAGCAAGUCCAGCCAGCAGCUUGCCGCCUGCCGCCUGCCAGCCUAAUGACUGGGCAAAGGCCUCAGCAGACAAGCUGUUCAGUCAUUGGCUGCACAGCCCAACACAAAUUUACAUAUGUAAAUGUAUGUAAAUAAUUUUUUACGGCAAUGUCCGGCUAGAGUCACAAAAACGGGAAUGUGUGUGUGAACUUUCGUGUUGGACUGUUUUCACAACCUCGGUCAGUACAACAGUGGACUGACUGAAAGACUGUUCCUGAAAGAGGGAUUGUACCAACUGUCUGUGGAGAGACAGCAGAGGAAGUCACUGUGACCUGAUGAAGCUCAGGUGUUCCUGGACCCAUCAGAGGACAGAGACAGCUGCAGCAUCAGGACAGUCUGGGUAUCCAAAGGAAGACUCAACAAGAUGAACACUGACCGCAGAGCUCCAUUACCAGCUCACACUUCAGUAUACUAGAAACCAUAAACCUUGAUGGAGGACAUGAUCUGCACAGUUUACAUAAAAGUUAUAGCUUUGUUACUUACAACAUGUGUAACUGGAAUAUGAAUGAAAUAUAAAUAAAGUGUUUUACUUUUAAGAAGAGUUUUGGUCAUUUUUAAAUUCAGUAAUAAGUGUGGUUUUAUAUAAAUAACAUGUUAUUUCAGGUUUUAUGAAGAUUUCCUGGAUGUACAAGACUUGAAAACCUGAUUCGUGUAACAUCUAUCAAUAUGAAAAUGUGGAACUUAAACCUGUAUUAAUGACUGUAAGCAACACAAUACAUUACUGUCUCACAUUCAAACUUUA